UGUUCCGUGGCUUAAUUGGUUAAAGCGGCGGUCUAGCGAAUACGGAGUCGUGGGUUCGAAUCCUACCAAAACCG
rnacentral:tRNA from 1 species